rnacentral:rRNA from 1 species
AUUGAACGCUGGCGGCAUGCCUUACACAUGCAAGUCGAACGGUAACAGGUCAAGCUGACGAGUGGCGAACGGGUGAGUAAUAUAUCGGAACGUGCCCAGUCGUGGGGGAUAACGUAGCGAAAGCUGCGCUAAUACCGCAUACGAUCUCUGGAUGAAAGCGGGGGACUCGCAAGAGCCUCGCGCGAUUGGAACGGCCGAUAUCAGAUUAGGUAGUUGGUGGGGUAAAAGCCCACCAAGCCGACGAUCUGUAGCUGGUCUGAGAGGACGACCAGCCACACUGGGACUGAGACACGGCCCAGACUCCUACGGGAGGCAGCAGUGGGGAAUUUUGGACAAUGGGCGGAAGCCUGAUCCAGCCAUGCCGCGUGCAGGACGAAGGCCUUCGGGUUGUAAACUGCUUUUGUACGGAACGAAACGGCUCUCUCUAAUACGGGGGGCUAAUGACGGUACCGUAAGAAUAAGCACCGGCUAACUACGUGCCAGCAGCCGCAGUAA